CUGGCAGAAAACAUAAGGUUCCAAAACAAAUCUACACUUUGGAUUAAAGGACUCUUGAAUAGUUCUGUGGCAUGCAGCUCAAGUCCCUUCCCUUGUGAAUACAGAAUUGUUAUUCUGGUUCAGACUUUUAUAUUCUCCUACCUUGAGAAGAAAGAAUGCUUGUAUUUCUCGGAAGUCCCAGCUGAGUAGUAUUCCAUUGUGUAAAUGUACCACAACUGUUUUAUCCAUUCAUC